rnacentral:lncRNA from 1 species
CAGAGCUCUGAGCUGUUCUCCUGGCCUUGCAGGCGCACACCACCCGCUCCAGCCAGCGGUGCCUGGCCUUUGUGGAUGACGUCCGAUGCUCCAACCCGUCCCUGCCGAUGACCAGGCACUGCCUUACUCAUCCUCCUCCAGCUCUGCGCGGGGAGCAGCCCGGGGAGCAGGAAGCUGCCAUUGUUUCUCUCCAGCGGCCGUACACUUGAAAAUAAAGGCAGGAUAAAUACCUACAAAACGCUUCGAGCCAGUUGCUGUUUGCAGGUGGCUGGGAGCAGGGGCAGGGAGUGGAAAAAAGGUUUUCUUUCCUCGUGGCUGAGCCCUCAGCUGACUUUGGCUGCCACAAACAAGAUCUUUGCUUCGAGUAGCCCCGGCGAGCCGAUAACAUCUGCAGCCUGCCGCGCUUUGCGCCUUGUGGGGAGGCUCUGGGGCUUUGUUUGGUUUUCCAGAAGCUCGAUUGUUUGCCACGGGGCGUUACGGGGAGCGCAGCAGCUGAGCUGUCAGGCUCCAGGUGGAGCUGGGGCUUUCGUCGUCUUGGCAGCCGCUGCUUUUUGGCUACCAGGAGAGCGAGCGCUUGAGCUGGAGUCAUCGGGAGAGAUUAAAAUCUGGCAUCCCCGCCCUGCCGCUCCUGCAGAGACGCUUUCCUCACCCCCGAGUGCCUGCUCAGUCUGGCUUCUUGGGGCUGAGCUCUGCACCGUUAGGGCCAGCACUAAUUAGGGGCUCUGCCAGGAGGCUUUGAGAGCCCGUGGAUGCUUCCUCAGUGCACAGAGGAAUAGGUUUUCCACUGGGAAGGAAAAUGCAGUGGGAAGCUGGAAAUAACCGGAACCCAACUCCUGGCGGUGGGAGCAGCAUUGUGCGCGCUGCCGUCCCCGCUGCCUGCUGGACCUGGAAACCGGUGCAGACGCCUCUGAAAUGGACGUCUGCAAAUCAAAGUGAGCCCGGGCAUGUGGAAU